CCUACGGGCGGCUGCAGUGGGGAAUAUUGCGCAAUGGGCGCAAGCCUGACGCAGCGACGCCGCGUGAGGGAUGAAGGUCUUCGGAUCGUAAACCUCUGUCAGCGGGGAAGAACGGUCACUGUGCUAAUCAUCAGUGCAUUGACGUUACCUGCAAAGGAAGCACCGGCUAACUCCGUGCCAGCAGCCGCGGUAAUACGGAGGGUGCGAGCGUUAAUCGGAAUUACUGGGCGUAAAGCGCUCGUAGGCGGUAUGUCAAGUCAAGGGUGAAAUCCCCGCGCUCAACGUGGGAACUGCCUGUGAAACUGGCAAACUGGAGUGUGUUAGAGGAUAGUGGAAUUCCAGGUGUAGGAGUGAAAUGCGUAGAGAUCUGGAGGAACACCAGUGGCGAAGGCGACUCUCUGGAACAUAACUGACGCUGAGGUGCGAAAGCGUGGGUAGCAAACAGGAUUAGAUACCCCUGUAGUC
rnacentral:rRNA from 1 species